AAUAGAUACCCAGGUAGUCCAUGCCGUAAACGAUGUCUACUAGCCGUUGGGGCCUUUGAGGCUUUAGUGGCGCAGCUAACGCGAUAAGUAGACCGCCUGGGGAGUACGGUCGCAAGACUAAAACUCAAAUGAAUUGACGGGGGCCCGCACAAGCGGUGGAGCAUGUGGUUUAAUUCGAUGCAACGCGAAGAACCUUACCUGGUCUUGACAUAGUAAGAACUUUCCAGAGAUGGAUUGGUGCCUUCGGGAACUUACAUACAGGUGCUGCAUGGCUGUCGUCAGCUCGUGUCGUGAGAUGUUGGGUUAAGUCCCGCAACGAGCGCAACCCUUUUCCUUAUUUGCCAGCGGGUUAAGCCGGGAACUUUAAGGAUACUGCCAGUGACAAACUGGAGGAAGGCGGGGACGACGUCAAGUCAUCAUGGCCCUUACGACCAGGGCUACACACGUGCUACAAUGGUCGGUACAAAGGGUUGCUACCUAGCGAUAGGAUGCUAAUCUCAAAAAGCCGAUCGUAGUCCGGAUUGGAGUCUGCAACUCGACUCC
rnacentral:rRNA from 1 species